AUUAAGUUCAUUAGUCCUAACUCAACUGACAAAAAUAUCAAAAUUGUUUGAUCAGAUGUUAUGACCGAGACUCGAACCACGACAUCUCCCUUUAUUUGUGUACAUUGAUAAUAACUUUGCUAUUUUAUCUACCAAAAAAAUGAGUGCUAUCAAGUGGGGGUGUAAGCUGAGAUGCCUGAUGAUAUUGGAAAGAGAAGGAAAGUUUUAGUUGACAAAUAGAGAAGAGAGGAGGGUGAGUCCAACUGAAUGCACAGGUAUCCACGGGUACAGAUAAUAUGAUAUCCGCCUCCGUUCCGUUGAAUAAAUAUGAUAUUCGUAUCUGUCCCUAUAUUCGCGCGGGUACUGUCAUACGAGUAAUCCAAGGAUAUUUAGAUACCUAUGAAUAUUCUCGGAUAUCCAUGGAUGAAGAAUCAAAAACCCAGAUUCAAAAAUUCUCUCUUUCAAAAUUCGAAAAUCCUCUCUUUCAAUUUCUUGACUGUUGUUGGGUUGCUGUUUCUUGAUUGGAGGGGUGGAGGGUAUGAUCUGGAAGAAAAGAAAUAGAGAGAAGAGAAAAGAGAAGAGAAGGAAGAAGAAAAGCAAUAACAAAAAGAGAGAAAGUGGGAAAGAAUAGAAGGAAGAAGAGAAUAGAGAAGAGAAUGAUGAAGAUAAUAGAAGGAAGAAGAAAAGAAAGAAGAUAAACAGAGAAGGUGGGAGAUAAGAGAAGGAAGAAGAGAGAAGGGGAUUACGCUGGAGAAGAAGAGAGAAAAAGAAAUGAGAUUUUUUUUUUUAAUUUAUCAUUAAGGGUAUUUUAGGUAUUUUAGGUAUGUCUAAAAUUGUGUAUAAAGCCCAAUAAUUAAAAGGGAACUUCUACGGUACACUCACAAAAUGAGGUGUACCGGUACUCCUGCUUCUUAAUUUUAUAAAUGAACGAUAAUUUUUUAUGUAGUAAAUAGCUAUUUGUCAAUAUUUAUAUUUUAUAGAACAAUAUUUCAUAAUAAAAAACAUCAUUUAAUUGUUUA
rnacentral:lncRNA from 1 species